UGUGGCUCAGUGGUAGAGCACUUGCCUAGCAUGUACGAGACCCUGGGUUCAAUCCUCAGCA
rnacentral:tRNA from 1 species